rnacentral:rRNA from 1 species
UACGUAGGUGGCGAGCGUUGUCCGGAUUUACUGGGCGUAAAGCGCGCGCAGGCGGACUGAUCAGUCUGGGGUGAAAUCUCACGGCUCAACUGUGAGCGGUCCCUGGAUACUGUCAGUCUUGAGAUGUCUAGAGGAGAGCGGAAUUCCCGGUGUAGUGGUGGAAUGCGUAGAUAUCGGGAGGAACACCGGUGGCGAAGGCGGUUGCCUGGGGCUUUGCUGACGCUGAUGCGCGAAAGCGUGGGGAGCGAUCCGG